GGUCGACGGCGGAAACCCUCCUCGUGAGACCCCAUCCUGAACCCCCACAACGAAAUCCCAUUGUGAGACCCCAUCCUGAACCCCCAUAACGAAAUCCCCUUGUGAGAUUCCAUCCUGAACCCCCAUAAUGAAAUCCCAUUGUGAGAGUCCAUCCUGAACCCCCAUAAUGAAAUCCCAUUGUGAGAGUCCAUCCUGAACCCCCAUAAUGAAAUCCCAUUGUGAGAGUCCAUCCUGAACCCCCAUAAUGAAAUCCCAUUGUGAGAGUCCAUCCUGAACCCUCCCCCGAGACCCCAUCAUGAGACCCCACUGUGAAGCCAUGCUGACACCCCACCCAUUGUGAGACUCCAUCCUGGAAUCCCCAUCCCAGACUGCAUUCUAAGACCUCAUGCUGAGAAUCCAUCCAGAAACCCCCUCCUGAGAUCCCCAGCCUGACACCUCCAUCCCAAGACCCCCACUGUGACACCCUGGGCCCACUACCCCUGUGUACCCAAGGGAAGCUGACAAGGCAUGGUUUCACCCAGCUGUUGUGGGCUCUGGCACUGCUCAUGAAUCUCUCCUAGGAAAGAAAAGUGAUGGAGAAUGCAAUUGUGUACGAAUGUGGAGCUGAGGAGACCCCAAAAUUAGAAGUUGAGAAGAUGAAUUCUAAAAACAGCUCUCAGCCCUUCUAAUCUGUCUGUGAAGAAGAAAGGACCCAUCCAAGCUGCUAAAUCAAAUUUGGAUGUCAGAAGACAUGUAUAGCACCCAAACUGCCUGUGGCCAAAACAGGUCCCUUCCCCAGGAACACACAACUGACAGAGCUGUGACAGUAACGAGCUGGCAGUGGAAAAGAUGCCAAGGUAAAGGUGCCAAAUACUGACUGCAGAGAUAGGAACACCCACCAUAAACAUCCUGCCUUGAGCCCACCUGGAGCAGUGAUAUAGCUUCUUCCCUGAGAACCCUUCAGCCACACAGAUCCUCAGGCUGCCAGUCCCAAGCCUAGAUCAGAGUGCUGAGACUGUCUGCACUGCUGGGAGAACUGAACAGCCUGUGCCAAGCGACAGGCAUCUGCCCCUGGAGGCUACAGGUAUAUCAUCCAGCCCAGCUUAUGGCAUGUUCUGCUACAGUCUUAAUCCUUUGGAUGUUCUCCUUUUAUUUCUCAGCAUUAAAUUAGCCCUGUCUUGUAUCACCAAUACUGCACACCCCUCUAAUAAUAAUUCCAUAUUUCUCUCCAUUGCCCCAGUAACAGGCAGAAGGAAUCACAGGCUGUAGUUUUGCUCACAUUUUCUUUAGCAAACGUGUGGUUUUUUUCCUUCAGGUUGAGUUAUUUUUAAUCUGGCUCAAUUCCCAAAUUAGUUCGCUGCCUGGCAGCAAGAGCAGCUGUACCUGCACACUUGGGAGGAGCUGGGGAGCACAUGGAGCAGCUGCAGGAGCGGGGCUGGGCCAGCACUGCUGCUGCAUGAGGGGCUGUUGAAAUAUAGCCUUGUCUUCUGAUUUUCACAAACAUUCACAAAGAUGUGUAAGAAAUUGUCCCAAGGCACACAGGAGCCACGGAGGCUGCUUAGAACAAACUGCCAAUCUUGGGAAUAUACAUGAUUUCCCAAGGUUUGUCCUUAGCCUACCUCAUGCAGACAGCCAUUAGGAGAGGGUGGCUGAAUUCACUCUCUGCCAAAGGCAAAGGAAGAAAGCACAGAUGUAACAGCACAGACAGGGCAGUUCAAAGUGCCAGAAAAGGCUCUGGAACUUACACAGACCCUGGUAUCCCCUUGAUGAAUCCUGAAGAUUCAAACCUGAUCUCCUGUGGGGAGGGCAGCUUGUCCCUCAGCAAAAGGAAAAUGGCAAAGACAAGCCACCAGUUCUCCAGGAGCUGCAUCCUGGCCAGCUUGUGCUCUCAGGUCUGAGAGAGCUGUCAAGGGUCUGUAGGUCCCUAAAUACUAUAAGGUCAGGGCAGGAUUUUUCCAUGUGUGCUUUUGUGUUGUGACACAAGAACAAGCUUGGCUGAAAACCACUGAUACAAAUUGCAAAGCUGUGGCUCUCAGGAGUUCACUGAAGAAAAAAAUAACAGCAAUUAUUAGCCUUAACAGGAAGAAAAAUGGAGAAGCAUUUUGGUACAAAAUCAGUUGACCGUGAAACAGAAAAUUCCCACUCCAGGGCAAGUGGCAUUGCAAAGAUGUGCUCUGGGUUUAAUUUAAUAAUGUAAAGAGAAAAAGAUGGUUAAUAGCUAUAAAACUAAGGCCAGAGGUUGCAAGUCCUGUACAUCAAAGACAAGUAACUCUCACCUGAGCACAGUGAUGGUUUGGACACUACAGAUGUCUGGAAACAGCAGAAUGCCCUACAAUCAGUAUCCUGUGGCCAGCCUGGGAAGGAAACUACUGAGAGCUGCAGUUAUUAGCUCUACAGUUACUCUGUAAUUGAAAACGGCAACUUCGUUUCUGGGAUAAGUUUCUCUUAACAAGGUCUUCCUUAUUUCCCCAAAGCUUAUUUACUUUUCCAGGUUACUGUGCUUCUCUGCAAGCCAGAUCUCCCCAGGAAAGCAAAUCUCUGAGCAAUCACAGAUAAAAUGCUGGUACUGAAAAAUGCUUCUUCAACAGCAAUUUAAAAAAAAUUGCAGCCUUUGGAAAAAAAACAAAAAACAGUGUGAAAGGGUUAACAAAGAACAAGGUCAGCAGGCUCUGUGGAGGCACUGUCUGUGCUGGUAGCUCUGGCAUUUGGUCCUGAACCUCCCUGAGCCUGCACCUGACUGCAGAUGGCCCCGUCCCUGUGGUGCUGCUGCUGCAGAGGCCCCACUCCUCUCCUCUCCUCUCUGCAGGGCUGACUCACUGCAGCGCUCCCAGCCACGCACAGAACACAAAAGCACCAUGGCUGUGCCAGCACAGCCACUCCCUUCCCCUCUUCCAAACUCACCACCGAGUCAAUCCCUGCCAGAUAGAACUGCCCUCUGAGCAGCCAUGCUCCUGGCAGCAAAAAAAUUUCAAAAAUCCCAAGGGUCCCUUAUAUUGUUAAUGCUGCGAGUCACUUGAGAAAUGUGCUGAUGCAAUUGUACCAGCAAAGGAUUUGAAAUGGGAAUUUUCAGCCGUGGGUCAUCACAGAGGAGUCAGAGCAUCACAUGACAUGGCUGAGGCACUACAGACUGUUAAUUUGACUCUGGAUGUAUUUGCAGGUACUUGGCACAAAGUGAUCCUCCACCAAUCCAUGCUCACCCCAGCUCUGUUCUUCUUGCAUGGGUUUAUAUAUUAAUGACAAAGGCUUCAUGUUCUAAGGCAUGAAGCAAAAUGCCAUUGGAGAUAUUUUUCCUGCACUGGUUCUGCAAGUCCCUAUCAACUGUCUCUGCAUGAUGUCACCAACCUACAAGGGACCUUAGGGUCCCUUGGAACAGGGGGCCUUUCAAUUGCUUAAUGCCCUUGGAGAUGAGAGCACUUAGCUGCUCUCUCAAGUCAAGACUGGCAGUAGGGCCCCAUUACAGAAGGUAGAACUGAAUGUUAAGCAAGUUUGCAGCCCUGGGCAGGACCCUCUCCUAUCCUUCCACACAAUUUGACUUGCUAAAUUAAAUUCCUCUCACCAGAACUGCAAGCUGGAUGCAGCAUCCUCUGCAGAGCCUGGGUUUGGGAUUCACCCCCCAGCUACAAGCUGUCACACUGCACCAGGAAGAUCCCCUCUGCAGUGUGAGACAAUUAACCUAUAGAUUUCAUAAACAUUUAUGACCCCUGGAGAAAGCCUAAUUCAGAUGUUUAGUCUUCUUUUGCUGAUGAAUAACCAAAACCAUUGAGAUCAGAAAUUUCUCCUUCUCCAGCCACUGCUUCAGCGGGCAUGCAGGAUUUUCCUUCAGUCAGCUUACACCUUUGUACAGCCCCAUCUCACAUUGCCAUAAGGCAAAAGCACUGCCCAAGCAAAACCAGCCCAGCCCAGAGCCAGCCCACUGAGAGGUGACUGCAUAGAGAUCAGUGCUCUAGCAAACAGCAAAAAAAAGCCCAUUCCUUUGUUAACAAGUACUGCUGAGCCUGACAGGACAACUGGCUCAUAGCUACAGUCUCCUGAACGCCCAGAAGGUGCACACAGUGGCACCAGGCCUGGGCAAUGCCCUUGCCAGGUUAGAAGCUCCAAACAACUUCAGUGAAUUCCUUAUGUUCUGGCCACAACACUUCAUGGUACUCACACCACUUACUGGACGGGUACCUUGGUGAAACACAAAUAUGCAUUUUCAUUCCCAACCAGGUGAAACAUCCCUCCAAAUACAUCAGCUUGGUUUGAUGCCAAGGGCACUGCUAGCACCAGGUGUCUGAGUAGUAACAUUCUGGCUUUAGCACUGAAAGGGUCCAACACAUAUUUCCCACAUAAGCUCGGCAGUACUCAAAGUCCUCAGGCCAGAGGAGGCUGCUCCAGCACUCAGUAGCUGCAGCACCAAAAUCUCCCAGCUCAAAUGGUCCUGUGAUUUAAGAUAAAAAUACAAGUUCUUGACUGAAGCCAUUUUCUUGAUGAGACUAUUGUUGAGCUACUUCAGAGGCAAUUACUAUUCACAGUACAGCUUCCAAGCAGCUCAGCUUCUGCAGGGCCAGCACAAGGACAGGCUGCUUGUUUCCUGACAAGGCAGCUCCUCUCUUGGGCACAGGCUGCAGCCUGCAUCCUCUCUCCCUGGCCCUUGGUGCAGGCUGCAGCUACCUGAUCCCUGGUUACAGAGCACUGCACUGAGCCAGAUGUGAUCAGGGUGAGCACAGCCCUGCAUCCCUGCUCACCACAAAUAUGGCCCAUGGCAGCAGCUGGGAACCACACUGCCACGACCCAGGAGAAAGCAGAAGUCAUGGCAGAGCUGGCAGCAUCAUUCUGGCAUGCUACCCAGUGACUUCAGGAACCUGCCUGCCUCAAGAGACCUCACCCUCUUCCCAAAGGGGCAGCAACAGCUGGAAAUCAGAGCCAGGGACGCAUUACAGCAAUGUAGUGAGGAAGUUUUAUUUGGAAACAUGGUAGAAGUUUGUAACCCAACACUGGGUGCACGACUGAUGCCGGAGCAUACGCAGUUACUAUUGAAACACGGGAGUGUUUCAGACAAUUGCUGUAAUAAAACACAAAAUUCUCAUACUCCAAUACCAGGACACUACAGCAAUCUUUAGAAUCAAAAUUACAUCCAAGGAAUUCUCUGCACUUACAAUUUACCCCACAGUGUAAUCUACCUAUAUAUAAGAUUAAUAUAUAGCAUGGGAAAUUGAAAAUCCUUGCUCCAUAGAUGUAUGAACAUGUCAAGUCUUUUAUAAAUAAACAUCCAGUGAAGAGAAAAAAUUACAUUUCUAGUUCAUAUUUAUACAUAAAAUACUAACAGCAAUGGGUGGAAAAUUGCACAUGGGCCACCCCAAGCCAUGCAGCAGGCCUGGAGCAACCCUUCCAAGUUAAUAUUGAAGUACACACAGGACAGACAAGUCACUAACAUAUAUUGCGCAUUUACAAGAGAUCAACUACCAAAUUGGGACAACUGUACACAUUGGAGAAACCAUUUUCAUUCUGGAGCUUUUUUUUUUUGUUAAACGUAGAUUUGUUACAUCUCUUUACAU